rnacentral:misc_RNA from 1 species
CUUCACAACACAAAAUGGCCUCCUUUUCAACCCCACCUUCUCCUCUUGAUUCCAGUCCUAGAGAAGACCUGUGGGCUGAAUGGCUGGAACCAUUAACAAAAUGGCAAACCUUUGGACUGUACUUACCAGGAAUAAAACAAAAGGACAUUGAUAAGAUUGAAGAGGACAAGACUGGAGUGGAGAGUAGGAAGAUGGGACUGUGGACUAAAUGGACUGGGGUAUAUCCACCUGGUACAUGGACUGAUGUCAUUAGUGCUCUUAAGAGGCUGAAAGAGAAUGCACUAGCAGCUGACAUUGAAGAGAGACUGAGGAAAGGAAAAGUAUUUGAAAUUAAAAGUCCUCCUGCUGUUGCUCCUCCCCCUCCAUCAGUUGAUAUUAAUAAAUUAAGACGAAUAAUAACUGAAGUGAUACGAACCAACUACGCUACAUUCAAUAAAAUGUGAUGUAAAGACAUUGUUAAUCAGAUUUUAAGAAGCAUA